UACUUUUUACUUUAAUUUGUAGGUACUAGAAAGAGUGAAACAGGAACUGCUUAAUUAUAAUGGAGAAGGAAUGAGUGUUAUGGAACUUAGUCACAGAUCUGCUGCAUUUGCUAAAAUUGUGCAAGAAGCUGAACAAGAUGUUA